CGGUAAUAUAUUUAAAUCGGAAUAUCCACAUUCAAAAGUCAAACACGGUGUUUCUGAUGGUGGUCUUGGAUGUAUGGAAUUCAACACAGAAGACGAAAGCAUUUCUUGAGUGCCAUAGUUCCCAAAGAACUAAAAGAGUAACCAAAGGCUAUAUGUUUGGAUUUAGGCUAGGUGGCAAGUCAGAGUUAGGAAGAAGUCCUAGAUCGAUCCAAACUUGUGAAGUGUCCGGGCAAAGUAGAACUAGGUGAGAAGCGUCUUCACAUGGAGUGGCACAUCUAGGGAAAGUGGUUGUUGCGGCAAUGUUCUUAUGGUGCAUGUUGCCUCUUUUGUCCAACCUACCUUUAAAUAGUAGCCAACCAAUACUUUGAUGGGAACAGUCGAGGACCAGAUGAACACAUGGUUGAGGUCGAUAGUUGUGUCGUCAGUGAUGAGCCUAUCAGUAAUCCUCGGAGAGAAAUACAAUGCAUGCAUGAGAGAACCCUUGUAAGCUGGGUAAGAAGACUAGAAAUCCUGCAAGAGUGAAAGCACAACAGCCAAAUCGCAAGUGGCAGCAGUUGUAAGAUGGUCCCACAUGUUAGAUAAUAAGCCACAAUUCAACAUAGUAGCCACUAGAAUCUUGUCAUCUGUUGAGUGUGAAAAAAGGUGUGGGAAAGCUAUUUGAAGUGGUUUGUCGAGAUGCCAAGUGUCUAACCAAAAGAAAGUAGAGAGGCGAUCAUUCGUUAAGAUAAAAGUACAGUAAAAAUGGGUAGAGAGUUAUUUGUUGACCACUUUCCAAAGAUUAACUUGGUUUUAUGCUCUUUGAGCAAUGUUAUGGGAGUAGUUUGGGUGAUACCGGUGGAUCCAAGGUAGACCUGGGUUUUGUAGCAGUUUAAAGGCAAACAUCGUGAGGAGGCAGUUGUUCUCAAUGACAUGGUUUUUUAUGCCCAUACCACCAUUUAUCUUAGGUUUGCAAACACUGUUCCAAGCUAUAAGACAUUUAGAAUGAGUGCACGAGUCCUCAUUAGACUAGAAGAAAGCUGUCACUAGUGGAAAACGGGCCUUUGGCCGGGACCCUUUAGUCCCGGCCUGCCUCUGGGCCGGGACUAAAGGCCCGGCCACGUCGCCCGAAUUCUCAAUGCCUC
rnacentral:lncRNA from 1 species